ACGUUUAGUGGAGCUGAUAAGCUGCUUCAAAAAUACUUCAAAAGUGAGAAACAAAACGAUAAAACGUCAUUUCCGUACAGAAUGAACAUAUUUUCUCAUUGAACAGGGGGUUGAGGUUUGGUCCAGUUUAAGCGGGCCACGCUUUGGACAGUUCUGCUAUAGAGGUUCUGGUUCAGAGUUUUACAGUGUGUGCAAAAUACUAACAUCUACUCUUUUUUUACCUGACCAAAAUUGUGAUUUAGGAGCACCUGUGUGAGAACAGAUUUGGACCAGAAUAGCCCAACACUUCAUUGUGUGUGAAGACGCAGGUUUUUAAUCAGUGCUGCGUGCCAACGGCCUCGAAUGCUACUGUAUUUGCAGUGAAUGUAAAUCUCAGUGGUUAGAAUCUUUGCUGGCUUACUGACCAAACUAGUAAUAACUGCUAGUACAAACGCAUACUUUGUGCUGAUUAGAAGAAACUCAGGAACAUGAAGACAGAAAUGAAAGUGUAUGAGCCAUAUUUAAGUGUUUUGAUGGUUUGUUUAUAUGUUCUCUUUUGUUGGCUUUAUGAGUGUGCGCCCCCUAUAGGUGAUUGGUGUCACCCUAUAAAUCUGUGACUGAGAUGCCUGACGGAAAGGAAGGCAGAGCAGCAAUACCGUCAUUGACCUCAGUUGGCGCCUCAGUUGGCACCUCCACACCCAGCCGCCAUUGGGGCCUGUCAGCCAAACAACCUUGCUCUAUCCUGGGCUCCUAAUAGUUAUUAAUGUGAUGUUUAUGGACUUCAGGCUAUUACUGCAAAAUUUCAUUUUGUAUUUCUAUUUAUUAAUAAUAAAUCUCCGGCAAUAUUUUGCAUCAGAUACCCUCUUUGGAAUUCUUGGAAACCAGCUGUGAGUCUGACGCUGAAUCUGUCUUCUGUGUGGUAAAGACAACUGGAAACUGGAAACAAGGGGUUACAGGAUAAACUCAAACUGUUUUUACCAUCACAUUACGUCAAUGACGCGCUGUGAAUUUUUUUGGAAGAAACUUUGGAAUUACACCUGUUUGGAGACAACAGGAAAUGUCGGUCCUAGGCAUGGAGAGUUGAACAAAGGAAUGCUUCAAGGGAGGAAUGGAGGCAAGGACAGCCCUGCUAUUGCUGACCCACUGAGUAAGCUGAAACCCACCUUUCCUGCACAAUGAAGUGAGAUCCUUUACCAGCUGAAUGGCAUCAGAUUCUUUGGUUACAGAUUUAGCGCAGUCAUCCACAUAAAAGUUAUGUCUGACGGUCUCAGCCACCUGAGGGGGAAAACUGAUCUCAUUGUCGGCAGCGUUUUUUUGCAGAGCAAAACUUGCACCACUUGGGGAAGACACAGCACUGAAUAUGUGUACAAGCAUACGGUGUUCCCUAGGGGUCCGGCUAGUAUCACGUUGUGGCCACCAGAGGAAUCGCAAGUAAUUCACAUCAGACUUUGUAACCCUUACUUGGUGGAACAUCGACUUGACGUCAGCCAUGAUUCCAAUCGGCUCUUUGCGGAAUCUUAAGAUGACUCCGAUGAGGGAGUUGGUCAGGCUUUGCAAAUGCUGUUCUGCAACCUGCUGAUUAUUUGGCAUGAACACAUCAGGUUUCCUAAAGGGCAAGUUCAGACUGUAAUGUCCAUCUUUCAAGAGUGCUCCAUUAGCUAUCUCUAAAAACUGUUUGUCCUCAAUAGACAUUUCAGUCCUUUCCUGCGAAGCAACUUCAUUGAAGUCCUGGUUGUACUGUGACAUCAGCAGCUUUUCCAGACCUGCAACUGAAAUCCCAUUCACAGUCACACUGUCGCCACUGCCAGCAGCAGAGAAAGAAAGUUAUCAACAUUCAGUGCUGAAACUUCCAAUCCUGAAAUAACAUGAGUGGAAACAGACAUUUGCUGAUUCAUAGUUCGAAGAAGAAUGCGUGUCCUUUUACCUUUCAUAUGGAGGCGUGACAUCAGCUCCUCAGAGCAGAAGGUGGCAGAGGACCCAGGAUCCAGGAGAGCAUAGACCUGCAAGACAUGGCUGCCCUUUGCGGCCUUGAUGUUAACAGGAACAAUGGGAAGAACACUCUCUUGGUCUCCAGCGCCUAUAUGACCACAUAACUCUGUUGAUGUGUUACCUAUGACAUCAAAGGGCUUUUCUGCUUCUUGAGCUGCCUUUCUCUCAAUGUGCAAUGUGCCUUGAUGCGCUUGUUUGCAAAUGCUACAUGUGAGAUGCUGUUUGCAAUCCUUACUGAUAUGGCUUGUGGCCUGAAGACAUCCAAAGCAUAUACCAUUGGCCUUUAAAAGGCUAAGCUUAUCUUUAUGAGCUUUCUUUGCAAAUUCUUUGCAUUUUGUCCAAGGUGUGCUUUGAGCUACAGAAGGUACAAGAGGGUUGGAGCUUUAACUCUUUUGAAGGGAGAGCUACACCUAUGACAUAGCUACUGAUGGUUGCCUUUGAAGGAUGUGACUUCACAGUAGACUUAGGCUUCCCCCUAAUAGCUGUUUGAUCUUGAAGGUCACCAAAGACUGGACCAGCUGAUAUACGAGCUUGUUUUUCAAUAAAAGGGACAUGAUCCACAAUCCCUA